rnacentral:rRNA from 1 species
UGACUAAGCCAUGCAAGUCAUAUGUUCUUCGUGAACAUGGCGUACUGCUCAGUAACACGUGGAUAACCUGCCCUUGGGUCUGGGAUAACCCCGGGAAACUGGGGAUAAUACCGGAUAAGGCAUAUAUGCUGGAAUGCUUUAUGCGUAAAAUGGAUUCGUCUGCCCAAGGAUGGGUCUGCGGCCUAUCAGGUAGUAGUGGGUGUAAUGUACCUACUAGCCUACAACGGGUACGGGUUGUGAGAGCAAGAGCCCGGAGAUGGAUUCUGAGACAUGAAUCCAGGCCCUACGGGGCGCAGCAGGCGCGAAAACUUUACAAUGCGGGAAACCGUGAUAAGGGGACACCGAGUGCCAGCAUCAUAUGCUGGCUGUCCAGAUGUGUAAAAUACAUCUGUUAGCAAGGGCCGGGCAAGACCGGUGCUAGCCGCCGCGGUAACACCGGCGGCCCGAGUGGUGAUCGUGAUUAUUGGGUCUAAAGGGUCCGUAGCCGGUUUGGUCAGUCCUCCGGGAAAUCUGAUGGCUCAACCAUUAGGCUUUCGGGGGAUACUGCCAGGCUUGGAACCGGGAGAGGUAAGAGGUACUACAGGGGUAGGA